UACGUAGGGUGCAGGCGUUGUCCGGAAUUAUUGGGCGUAAAGAGCUCGUAGGCGGUUUGUUGCGUCGGCUGUGAAAUCCCGAGGCUCAACCUCGGGUCUGCAGUCGAUACGAGCAAACUAGAGUGUUGCAGGGGAGACUGGAAUUCCUGGUGUAGCGGUGAAAUGCGCAGAUAUCAGGAGGAACACCGGUGGCGAAGGCGCUGCUCUGGGCCGGUACUGACGCUGAGGAGCGAAAGCGUGGGUAGCAAACAGG
rnacentral:rRNA from 1 species